GGUCGUAGCUGAUGACUGUAAAUUAGAAAGUUGUCCGUCUUGAUAAGAACAAUUUAUGUACCGAGUUUGGUGUCUGUAGCUAAAACUAACCCCCCCACUUUUGACAAAAGGUGGCGCUAUAGAGUGCCUCCUCCACGCCCUUUUAUGACCUUUUGCCAGUGUCUAGCUAUCAUUAAUACCGAUAUGUGUUCUGAGUUUCAUGAAAUUUUAAGCAUGUUAUCUGCCUCAAAAUCAGAAUAUAUUAUACAGAAAAAUAUUCCAGUUUGAUAUGUUGCCAUGGCAACACUAUAUUAGAUAUCAAUAUCCCCUCUACAGUUUUACAUGGGCCGUGUUUUGUCAUUAUUCUGAUGAAGUUUGAAGCAAAUUGAGUAAAAAUAAGAUGCUGAAUUCAAAGCAUUUUGAAAAUGACACACUUCCUGCUGCCAGUUGGUGGCGCUAUAAUUUUGACUCCUAAUAGUCACAUAUAUGCGAUCGGCAUCAUACAACGAACAAAUUGAUGAAGUUUAAUUAAAAUCAGGAAAUGUAUGUGGAUGUUAUUAGACACUUCCUGUUUCUCAUUUCUCGCCAUAAUUUCAACGCCUCGCCACGAGCAUACCAUUCGAGAUAUCAAAAAUCCCCUGGCAAUUUUGCAUCCCCAAUGUCUUGAGAUCAUGUUGACCAAGUUUGGUGGCAAUCGGGUAAAAAACCUAUGACAAGUAUAUCAAAUUCCAGAGCAUGCGCUUUUUACAUAGCUCUAAAUAGCUGACUUCCUGUUGGGCGGAGCCUAUGACAUGCAAUAUGAAAGUUGUUUGGCUCAAUGAGAUCUAUAUGUGUAAUGAGUUUCAUAUGAAUAUGUGCAAGUAUGUGUGAGCUAUACAUCAACAUUUCUGACUGUGUUCCAGGGGGCGCCGUAGAGCCCCUGUGCCACGCCCAGGUCCCAGCCUCUGCGGCCUCCUAAUGGCCACAGAUUCCAAGGUGUGUGCAAAUUUUCAAGAGUUUUUGAGCAUGUUAAGGGCCCCAAAAGCCCCCAAAACUUUGACGGAAAAUAAGAAUACAAAACCCUAAAUAACCAACUUCCUGUUGGGGCGGAGCCUAUGACAUGGAGUACGAAAGUUGUUCGGCUUGAUGAGAUCUAUAUGUGUACCGAGUUUCAUACGUCUACGUGCAAGUAUGUAUGCUAUAUGGCCCUCCAAAUUCCAGGGGGCGCUGUAGAGUCCCUGUGCCACGCCCGUGUAUCAGUCUCUGCCCGGCCCUAAUGGCCGCAGGUUCCAAUGUGUGUGCCAAUUUUCAAGAGUUUUUGAGCAUGUUAAGGGCCCCAAAAGCCCCCGAAACCUUGGAAAAAAAUUAGAAGAAUAAAGAAAAAAAAAAAAAAAUAAUAAUAAUCCUAAGGAAAACAAUAGGGCUCUUCGCCCUCCAGGCUUGAGCCCUAA
ensembl:lncRNA